UACAGAGGUCUCGAGCGUUAGGCGGAAUCACUGGGCUUAAAGCGUGUGUAGGUGGAUCGUUAAGUACCUUGUGAAAUCCCACGGCUUAACCGUGGAACUGCUUGGUAUACUGGCGGUCUUGAGCCAGCUAGGGGCUACCGGAACAAAUGGUGGAGCGGUGAAAUGCGUAGAUAUCGGAAGGAACAUCAGUGGCGAAAGCGACUUCCUGGACCAGUACCGACGUCAGGCACGAAAGCGUGGGGAGCAAACAGG
rnacentral:rRNA from 1 species